AUCGCUGCUUGAUAGCUUCCCUCUCCGCCACGCUCUUCCUCGCCAUAGCUCUCCUGAUAUAAAGUUUCCGACUAUUAAAACGAUCCACAGAGGAUAAUGCCUGUGACAUGGAAGUUAGAUCGAAUGCACUUUUUUUCUUUGUCGGGACAUUAGUUUUCACAAGAAGAGCUUUGUCGCUUGGUUUGUUGAUAGCUUCUUUGAGCGAACUUAGAUCAAAAGUAGAACCUCCAUCAUCGUUGAU